AUACGCCCUGAGGGGGAAAGCAGGGGAUCGUAAGACCUUGCGUUAUUCGAGCGGCCGACGUCUGAUUAGCUAGUUGGUGGGGUAAAGGCCUACCAAGGCGACGAUCAGUAGCGGGUCUGAGAGGAUGAUCCGCCACACUGGAACUGAGACACGGUCCAGACUCCUACGGGAGGCAGCAGUGGGGAAUUUUGGACAAUGGGGGCAACCCUGAUCCAGCCAUUCCGCGUGAGUGAAGAAGGCCUUCGGGUUGUAAAGCUCUUUCAGCUGGAACGAAACGGUACGCUCUAACAUAGCGUGCUAAUGACGGUACCAGCAGAAGAAGCACCGGCUAACUACGUGCCAGCAGCCGCGGUAAUACGUAGGGUGCGAGCGUUAAUCGGAAUUACUGGGCGUAAAGCGUGCGCAGGCGGAUUGUUAAGCAAGACGUGAAAUCCCCGGGCUUAACCUGGGAAUGGCGUUUUGAACUGGCAGUCUAGAGUGUGUCAGAGGGGGGUAGAAUUCCACGUGUAGCAGUGAAAUGCGUAGAGAUGUGGAGGAAUACCGAUGGCGAAGGCAGCCCCCUGGGAUAACACUGACGCUCAUGUACGAAAGCGUGGGUAGCAAACAGGAUUAGAUACCCUGGUAGUCCACGCCCUAAACGAUGUCAACUGGUUGUUGGGGGAGUGAAAUCCCUUAGUACGAAGCUAACGCGUGAAGUUGACCGCCUGGGGAGUACGGUCGCAAGAUUAAAACUCAAAGGAAUUGACGGGGACCCGCACAAGCGGUGGAUGAUGUGGAUUAAUUCGAUGCAACGCGAAAAACCUUACCUACCCUUGACAUGUCCAGAAUCCUGCAGAGAUGCGGGAGUGCCCGAAAGGGAAUUGGAACACAGGUGCUGCAUGGCUGUCGUCAGCUCGUGUCGUGAGAUGUUGGGUUAAGUCCCGCAACGAGCGCAACCCUUAUCAUUAGUUGCUACGCAAGGGCACUCUAAUGAGACUGCCGGUGACAAACCGGAGGAAGGUGGGGAUGACGCCAAGUCCUCAUGGCCCUUAUGGGUAGGGCUUCACACGUCAUACAAUGGUCGGUACAGAGGGCUGCCAAGCCGCGAGGUGGGGCCAAUCCCAGAAAGCCGAUCGUAGUCCGGAUUGUUCUCUGCAACUCGAGAGCAUGAAGUCGGAAUCGCUAGUAAUCGCGGAUCAGCAUGUCGCGGUGAAUACGUCCCCGGGUCUUGUACACACCGCCCGUCACACCAUGGGAGUGGAAUCUGCCAGAAGUAGGUAGCCUAACCGCAAGGAGGGCGCUUACCACGGUGGGUUUCAUGACUGGGGUGAAGUCGGAACAAGGUA
rnacentral:rRNA from 1 species